GCGCGCUGUGUUUUCGCCGCUUAGUUCGCGUUAAAGCAAGAGGCAGCACGAAAGUCGAUUCGCUCGCUGUUGCCACCGCGCUUCCUCACUCCAGCAUUUAGACUGCGAGUUUCCGCGGUCAUCGAGUGAGUAAAUGCAGCCUUUCCAAGCAACCAAGGUGCAGAAACUUCCUUGUUGGACUAUCUGCAACAAGGAAGUUUCCAAAACUUCAUGCCAGCUAAAGCAGUCCAAUUUGGCUUCAAAGUCAGCUAUCAUGGCUGACACUGCUGACUCAUGGCAAGGUGCAACUUGCCUUGCAUCUUCCAACAAACACCUUAAGCCUGG